AACCCUGCUGGACUGACCUCUGGAGGUGCCCUGCGCAGGAGGCACAUUGGAAACCGGGGGUGCAUAAUAAGGCUCUUGAGAUCUGGGAGGAGCUGGAGUACUGUUGGAUGAAGGAAGGGCUGAGUGAACUAGGCGACCCGUAUAGCUUCUACCAUGAUGUCCUGCUCCUGAAGUACGGGUACUAGAGAAAUGACCAGACUCUCGAGAC
rnacentral:lncRNA from 1 species